rnacentral:rRNA from 1 species
UACGGAGGGUGCAAGCGUUAUCCGGAUUUACUGGGUUUAAAGGGUGCGUAGGCGGGCCUUUAAGUCAGUGGUGAAAUCUCCCCGCUCAACGGGGAAACUGCCAUUGAUACUAUUGGUCUUGAAUUUAGUUGAGGUGGGCGGAAUGUGUCGUGUAGCGGUGAAAUGCGCAGAUAUCAGGAGGAACACCGAUGGCGAAGGCAGGUCUCUGGGCAUUAACUGACGCUGAGGAGCGAAAGCAUGGGGAGCGAACAGG